rnacentral:lncRNA from 1 species
UAAAAGACCUAUGCAUAUUCUGCAACCAGCUCUCUUUGAACUUGUGGGACUAAUUGCAUUGAAUUCAGCUCCAACUUUGAAGUAUUUUUACUUAUUAUGCGUUGAUUGAUAUGCUAAAUUUAAAAUUUUGAUAGCAUAAUAUUCGCAUAUGGACCAAAUUUUCAUCGAGCAAAGAACACUACUCGUCCGAACACCAUUGUCAUAUGUACAACACACAAUUUAGUAUCAAUGCUUUCCAACAUUAGAAUGUCAUAUGUUAUUUUUUGGUUAUAGAAAGUUUAUGUGAGUUGGAUUCUGAAAGAACAUUAUGGUCAGAGCAG